rnacentral:rRNA from 1 species
GAAGUUUAAAAAGGUACGGCGUAAGCUGUCGCUAAAGGGAUGGACCUGCGAUGCAUUAGCUAGUUGGUAAGGUAACGGCUACCAAGGCGAUGAUGCAUAGCCGAGUUGAGAGACUGAUCGGCCACAUUGGGACUGAGACACGGCCCAAACUCCUACGGGAGGCAGCAGUAGGGAAUCUUCCACAAUGGACGCAAGUCUGAUGGAGCAACGCCGCGUGAGUGAAGAAGGGUUUCGGCUCGUAAAGCUCUGUUGUUGGUGAAGAAGGAUAGAGGUAGUAACUGGCCUUUAUUUGACGGUAAUCAACCAGAAAGUCACGGCUAACUACGUGCCAGCAGCCGCGGUAAU